GCAUAUCAAUAAGCGGAGGAAAAGAAACCAACAGGGAUUGCCCUAGUAACGGCGAGUGAAGCGGCAACAGCUCAAAUUUGAAAGCUGGCCUUCGGGUCCGCAUUGUAAUUUGUAGAGGAUGCUUUGGGUGAAACGCCAGUCUAAGUUCCUUGGAACAGGACGUCAUAGAGGGUGAGAAUCCCGUAUGUGACUGGAAAUGUUAACCUAUGUAAAGCUCCUUCGACGAGUCGAGUUGUUUGGGAAUGCAGCUCUAAAUGGGAGGUAAAUUUCUUCUAAAGCUAAAUAUUGGCGAGAGACCGAUAGCGCACAAGUAGAGUGAUCGAAAGAUGAAAAGCACUUUGGAAAGAGAGUUAAAAAGCACGUGAAAUUGUUGAAAGGGAAGCGCUUGCAAUCAGACUUGUUUAAACUGUUCGGCCGGUCUUCUGACCGGUUUACUCAGUUUGGACAGGCCAGCAUCAGUUUCGGCGGCCGGAUAAAGGCUCUGGGAAUGUGGCCUCCACUUCGGUGGAGGUGUUAUAGCCCAGGGUGUAAUACGGCCAGCCGGGACUGAGGUCCGCGCUUCGGCUAGGAUGCUGGCGUAAUGGUUGUAAGCGACCCGUCUUGAAACACGGACC
rnacentral:rRNA from 1 species